rnacentral:rRNA from 1 species
CCUACGGGUGGCUGCAGUGAGGAAUAUUGGUCAAUGGACGGAAGUCUGAACCAGCCAUGCCGCGUGCAGGAAGACGGCUCUCUGAGUUGUAAAUUGUUUUUGUACAAGGGUAAACUUGAAUAAGCGUAUUCAGCUGCAACUGCUGUACGAAUAAGGACAGGCGAACUCCGUGCCAGCAGCCGCGGUAAUACGGAGGUUACAAGCGUUAUCCGGAUUUAUUGGGUUUAAAGGGUGCGUAGGCGGAUUGAUAAGUUAGAAGUGAAAUGUCCGAGCUUAACUCGGGGACUGCCUCUAAUACUGUUUAUCUUGAGAGUAGAUGCGGUAGGCGGAAUGUAUGGUGUAGCGGUGAAAUGCUUAGAGAUCAUACAGAACACCGAUUGCGAAGGCAGCUUACCAAUCUAUAUCUGACGUUGAGGCACGAAAGCGUGGGGAGCAAACAGGAUUAGAUACCCGGGUAGUC